UGAAAGAUGGCAAUUUAUUACUACCUCCGUCCCAAAAUUCUUGUCUUAGAUUUGUCUAGAUACGGAUGUAUCGAAAAUUCUUGUCUUAGAUUUGUCUAGAUACGGAUGUAUCUCCGUAUCUAGACAAAUCUAAGACAAGAAUUUUGGGACGGAGGGAGUAUUAAACAUUGUCAGUACUAACACAUAACCGAAAGAGUGUCGAGUUAAAGAAUGGAAAACUAAAUUCUAUAGUUGUUGCAUGCUGUUUCACCCAAGUAUUCUCCAAAAGUUCACUAAAGUUACAUCGAUGGCAUUGUAUAUUCAAAAUGGAAUCAAUUACAUAAGUAUAACCCAAAGGCGCAGCAUACCAGUACUCCACUGAGGAAGGGGGGAAUCUGAAAUUUGUGCAGAAGAAUCCAGUACAAGGGUACAAAUUCUUGAGUACAUAUCUAGUGCAAACCGUACAUUCAACGGAAACAUGGAAACUUGAUCCGCUGUCGUUGGAUUGGAAAUGUGCGCCGCGAGAUGGGAGUACGUGCAAAUUGCAAAUUGGACCCCGCAAUAAUUCUGUACUUCGGUACAGAAGCAUGCCGAGGCUGAGUCGUCUCAUACCUUUCCCCAUGGCGGCAUCCAAUCCCGAUUCGAGUUCCUACCAUGGGAAGCUAGGGUUAGGAGACGAUGCUUCCCUCCAGCAGGACCCCCUCGUUCCGCUCUGGGCCAGCAAGCGGCCAGCAGCGCGGCUAAAUCCUCUCUGGUGAUUGUCCCGCCAGCAGUGACAGUCCUCCUCCGAGUGUUUCGUGGUGGGCCUGCGGUCAGCGAGCGGCGCAGCUGAUUCCUCUCUGGCGAUUGUCCGGCCAACCGUGCCAGUACUCGUCCGAGUGUUCCCCAACGACGUCGUGCUGGAUCUAGGUCCCCAGGUAUGAGGAUGUCUAGUGUCCAUGUUUUCUGCUUUCCCCUGUUCUCCUCCCGUGGCUCAUCUAGUGGUUCCCUCUUCCCUAGAUUGGGCUAUAGAUUUGCAAAGCAAAUAGACGAGGGGACAAGGUCGUAGCUAAUUGGGUUGUCUCCUCUAGAAUCAGCACAUCCUUUGAAGGAAGUAGGAGAGGGAACGAAGUAGUGGCAUAUUGUCAGCAGAUGCAGAUGUUGGUCUUGAAGAAAUUGGGAAGGUUGCUUGGUGGCAAGAUUUCUGCAAGUUAUUAGGACUAAUAGUACUGCAUUGGUUUUUUCUUCUCCUAGUGUACUAGAACUAGGUGUUGAAUGACUGAUGUACAAAUCCGCAGAUUUGCCAUCACUGUUAAUUACUGUUUUCGGACCAUUAUCUUAACUGAUGUACUUAUGUAUUGAAGUGAUGCAUUAUUGAAUUUGACUGACUCAUAUUGGUGCUACAUAAUCAGCACUAUGUGCAACUGAA